rnacentral:tRNA from 1 species
GCGGCCGUAGCGUAACCUGGUCAACGCGUCUCCCUGUCACGGAGAAGACUGCCGGUUCAAAUCCGGUCGGCCGCG